AAAAUAAAUUACCAAAAGGGAGUGAAAUAUAAAUUAUUUAUCAAAAGGGGUUGAGAUUUGAUGACUUGGCAGAGAGAGACUCAACUAUGAUUAGUGUCUAGCUAUUUGGAAAAAAUUAAAUAAGUUUUUGUGGACUGAAGUGGCAAAAAAAAUAAAAAUAAAAAAGCGGGACGCUACCUAUGGUAGAGAUCAAGACCUGCACCUUGACAGAGAUUCUUUAGCGUAGUGUAAAUUAUAAAAAAAUAAUUAAAAAAUAAAGUUUCAGCAGGAUGCAACCUAGGAUAGUGCCUACCUACUACCUGACGUGACCCAUUCAGUUGGGCGCUACCCGUGGUAGCAUUUAGUUGCAUGGCUUCUAUCAGGUAGUAGCGAGAAGCACCCCUAGCAUGUCCAAUCACGUCCCUUACAGUAU
rnacentral:misc_RNA from 1 species